rnacentral:rRNA from 1 species
UUGAACGCUGGCGGCAGGCCUAACACAUGCCAGUCGAGCGGAUGAAGGGAGCUUGCUCCUGGAUUCAGCGGCGGACGGGUGAGUAAUGCCUAGGAAUCUGCCUGGUAGUGGGGGAUAACGUCCGGAAACGGGCGCUAAUACCGCAUACGUCCUGAGGGAGAAAGUGGGGGAUCUUCGGACCUCACGCUAUCAGAUGAGCCUAGGUCGGAUUAGCUAGUUGGUGGGGUAAAGGCCUACCAAGGCGACGAUCCGUAACUGGUCUGAGAGGAUGAUCAGUCACACUGGAACUGAGACACGGUCCAGACUCCUACGGGAGGCAGCAGUGGGGAAUAUUGGACAAUGGGCGAAAGCAUGAUCCAGCCAUGCCGCGUGUGUGAAGAAGGUCUUCGGAUUGUAAAGCACUUUAAGUUGGGAGGAAGGGCAGUAAGUUAAUACCUGGCUGUUUUGACGUUACCAACAGAAUAAGCACCGGCUAACUUCGUG